AUUGAACGCUGGCGGCAUGCCUUACACAUGCAAGUCGAACGGUAACAGGUUAAGCUGACGCGUGGCGACCGGGUGAGUAAUGUAUCGGAACGUGCCCAGUCGGGGGGGAUAACUGCUCGAAAGAGCAGCUAUUACCGCAUACGACCUGAGGGUGAAAGCGGGGGAUCGCAAGACCUCGCGCGAUCGGAGCGGCCGCGAUCAGUUUGGGUAGUUGGUGAGUUAAGGGCUCACCAAGCCGGCGAUCUGUAGCUGGUCUGAGAGGACGACCAGCCACACUGGGACUGAGACACGGCCCAGACUCCUACGGGAGGCAGCAGUGGGGAAUCUUGGACGAUGGGCGCGAGCCUGAUCCAGCCAUGCCGCGUGCGGGAAGAAGGACUUCGGGUUGUAAACCGCUUUUGUCAGGGAAGAAAAGGUUCUGGCUAAUACCUGGGGCUCAUGACGGUACCUGAAGAAUAAGCACCGGCUAACUACGUG
rnacentral:rRNA from 1 species